CGGUAACCCCUCCCGACCCGGUGGGUUCCCGGGGGCCAACAGCCCGGGCCCCGUAGCCGACCUGUACGGACCCAGCAGCCAGGAGUCCGCUGUGGGGAACUACAUCAGCGCCGCCAGCCCCCAGCCUGGAGCCGGCUUCGGCCCCAGCAUCACUGGCCCGUUGAUUGCGACAGCUUUCACAAACGGAUACCACUGAGCCGUGGCUCGGUCGCACCAGAGAGCGUGUCUGGUGUGGUGAGGAAGACGAGCUGAGGUGUGUAGUUGGCUGUAUGUUCGGGGGCCACCAACACCUCGGCCCUGCCACAACCCCACCCCCAA